rnacentral:tRNA from 4 species
GGGCCGGUGGCCUAGCCUGGAUGGGGCGUCGGCCUUCGGAGCCGAAGGUCCCGGGUUCAAAUCCCGGCCGGCCCGCCA